rnacentral:rRNA from 1 species
GUGCACCAGGCGCGAAACUUCACACUGUGCGAAAGCACGAUGAGGGAAUCCCAAGUGCUUGCACGUAAGUGUAAGCUGUUUCUCUGUUUAAAACGCAGAGAGAGUAAGGGCUGGGUAAGACGGGUGCCAGCCGCCGCGGUAAUACCUGCAGCUCAAGUGGUGACCGUUAUUAUUGGGCCUAAAACGUCCGUAGCCGGUUUAAUAAAUGCCUGGGUAAAUCGUGUAGCUCAACUAUACGAAUUCCGGGUAGACUGUUAAACUCGAGACCGGGAGAAGUUAGAGGUACUCCUGGGGUAGAGGUGAAAUUCUGUAAUCCUAGGGGGACCACCAGUGGCGAAGGCGUCUAACUAGAACGGGUCUGACGGUGAGGGACGAAGCCCUGGGGCGCAAACGGGAUUAGAUACCCG